GUCAAACACCCCGGCCUGAAGGCCGGAGCUUGUGGAAAGAUUCACUAGCUCGAGUUUGACCAGACCAAGCGCCGCGAGGCGCUACGUUGUGUAGAAGACAGCAGACCCCGUUCCGGCGGG
rnacentral:ncRNA from 1 species